CGGGGUGUGGCGCAGCUUGGUAGCGCGCCUGCUUUGGGAGCAGGAGGCCCCCGGUUCGAAUCCGGGCACCCCGACCA
rnacentral:tRNA from 1 species